GACCACGUAGCUCAGUUGGCAGAGCAUUGGGCUAGUAUUCCAAAGGUCGUGGGUUCGAAUCCCACCGUGGCCG
rnacentral:tRNA from 1 species